rnacentral:rRNA from 1 species
UACGUAGGGUGCAAGCGUUGUCCGGAAUUAUUGGGCGUAAAGAGCUCGUAGGCGGUCUGUCGCGUCGGCUGUGAAAACCCGCGGCUCAACCGCGGGCCUGCAGCCGAUACGGGCAGGCUAGAGUUCGGUAGGGGAGACUGGAAUUCCUGGUGUAGCGGUGAAAUGCGCAGAUAUCAGGAAGAACACCUAUGGCGAAGGCAGCACUCUGGGACGGUACUGACGCUGAGACGCGAAAGCGUGGGGAGCGAACAGG